ACACAAUCGCACACCUCACGCCUUCGAAAUGGUUGCAUCUGGCAUACAAGCUAAUCAAGUGAGUUCCCAUUACCAGUUACACACGCUAAACAUGAGACCCAAGCCAACCGCGCGUCAUUUCGCUAUGCAAAUUAGCUUGAAUAGAGGGACAACGACCCGCAAAUGCGCCAUUCAAAAUACAUUGACCUUCCUUAUUCGACUUUGGACUCUACUUCCAAGAUCGGAGAGGAUUUGACUGGAUGUUUGAAAGCCGUCAGAAAGAGAUGUCGCGAUGCCCGCUAAAUCUUUUAUGUCCAAUUGCGAGAAUUAGCGUUCGUGAUAUUAUCUUCGGGUAAUAUCACGGCAACCGGGGAUUAUUUUACAGAUUCGCAGUUAAUCUGAGGCAAUUUCCAACUCUAAUCGAUCACUUCGAUUCGAUCAGUGGAAGAGGCAAAAGUGGUCCGUAUUUGUUUCGCGUCGUGGUGUAAUUUAAAAUUUGAUCGUCAAUCAGUGAUUUGUUCGAUCUAAGUUGCGGCAGUGCGUGUUACUAGUUUAGAAAAGGUGCGAGGCAGCGAAGCCAUUUGCCGUUACACCACCAUCCCAUUAGAGACCGCUUUUGACCCCACUCGUCGGCGUCGAGGUAAUCCCGGGGCACACGUGGCCGGAAGAGGGCCGCGUCACGUUCCUUU